AGUGGUGCUUACAAUUAAUUGAUCACAGCCAGUUACAGAUUUCUUUGUUCCUUCUCCACUCCCACU
rnacentral:scRNA from 3 species